CCUACGGGAGGCAGCAGUGAGGAAUAUUGGACAAUGGGCGCGAGCCUGAACCAGCCAAGUAGCGUGAAGGAUGACUGCCCUACGGGUGUGAAGCUUCUUCUAUAAAGGAAUAAAGUGAGGCACGUAUGCCUUUUUGUAUGGACUUUAUGAGUAAGGAUCGGCUAACUCCGUGCCAGCAGCCGCGGUAAUACGGAGGAUCCGAGCGUUAUGCGGAUUUAUUGGGCUUAAAGGGAGCGUAGAUGGGUGGUUAAGUCAGUUGUGAAGGUUUGCGGCUCAACCGGAAAAUGGCAAUCGAUACUGGCAGCCUAGAGUAUAGUUGAGGUAGGUGGAAUUCGUGGUGUAGCGGUGAAAUGCUUAGAUAUCACGAAGAACUCCGAUUGCGAAGGCAGCCUACUAAACUGAGACUGACAUUGAUGUGCGAAAGCGUGGGUAUCAAACAGGAUUAGAUACCCUUGUAGUC
rnacentral:rRNA from 1 species